rnacentral:tRNA from 1 species
CAGGGACUAGAUCAAUCGGUAGAUCGCUACGUUCGGGACGUAGAGGUUCCCGGUUCAAGUCCGGGGUCCCUGACCA